CACGGUCUGCAUGGACUGUGUUGGAAAGGUUUACUGGUGCGAGAUGGGCCCGCGGCCUAUCAGCUUGUUGGUGGGGUAACGGCCUACCAAGGCGACGACGGGUAGCCGACCUGAGAGGGUGACCGGCCACACUGGGACUGAGACACGGCCCAGACUCCUACGGGAGGCAGCAGUGGGGAAUAUUGCACAAUGGGCGAAAGCCUGAUGCAGCGACGCCGCGUGGGGGAUGACGGCCUUCGGGUUGUAAACCCCUUUCGACAGGGACGAAGCGCAAGUGACGGUACCUGUAGAAGAAGCACCGGCCAACUACGUGCCAGCAGCCGCGGUAAUACGUAGGGUGCGAGCGUUGUCCGGAAUUACUGGGCGUAAAGAGCUUGUAGGCGGUCUGUCACGUCGAUUGUGAAAACUUGGGGCUCAACUCCAAGCUUGCAGUCGAUACGGGCAGACUAGAGUACUUCAGGGGAGACUGGAAUUCCUGGUGUAGCGGUGAAAUGCGCAGAUAUCAGGAGGAACACCGGUGGCGAAGGCGGGUCUCUGGGAAGUAACUGACGCUGAGAAGCGAAAGCGUGGGUAGCGAACAGGAUUAGAUACCCUGGUAGUCCACGCCGUAAACGGUGGGUACUAGGUG
rnacentral:rRNA from 1 species